rnacentral:tRNA from 1 species
CCCGCCUUAACUCAGACUGGUAGAGUGCGCGGCUGUAGUAUAGUCUUCGCUUUUGGCGAACUGCGCGGCUACCGCGAUGUCCCCGGUUCGAAUCCGGGAGGCGGGA